rnacentral:tRNA from 1 species
AAGAGAAAGGUACUGAAAUAUGCUUUGCGUAUUUCAAAAGUGAAUUUUCGUAAGAAAACUCACAAGCUGUAAAUAAUUGCAGCUGGUGUUUGUGUAUACACCAAAAUUUGAGUUCAUUUACUCAAAAAUCUUGCUGCUCUUUCUUUCCCCUUAAUUUUUUAUAUAAACUGGAGAAACGUAAUUGCGUUUUCCGACUAAGUCGGGGAAUUAGCUCAGCUGGCUAGAGCGGCGGCUUUGCAAGCCGUAGGUCAGGGGUUCGAAUCCCCUAUUCUCCAAAAAAAAGAGAAAUCUUUUUUGCUGUUUAUACACUUUGAAAGAGUGCAUAAACAAGAGAUCUUUGACAUAACAAGGGAAGGAAGUAAUAACAAUCAUAAUGUAAAGAUGUUUUUUAAGACAUUUUUACUUUAGCUUGCUUGUUUUUAAGACAAAAAAGUUUUAAAAACAAAUAAACGAAGGUUAACUAUUUUGUGCGAAAGUACAAGAUAGUGUGAAGAAAAAUUAAAAGACUGUAUAAGCAGAAAGCAUAAUAU